rnacentral:rRNA from 1 species
GGUAUAGACCCGAAACCCGGUGAUCUAGCCAUGGGCAGGUUGAAGGUUGGGUAACACUAACUGGAGGACCGAACCGACUAAUGUUGAAAAAUUAGCGGAUGACUUGUGGCUGGGGGUGAAAGGCCAAUCAAACCGGGAGAUAGCUGGUUCUCCCCGAAAGCUAUUUAGGUAGCGCCUCGUGAAUUCAUCUCCGGGGGUAGAGCACUGUUUCGGCAAGGGGGUCAUCCCGACUUACCAACCCGAUGCAAACUGCGAAUACCGGAGAAUGUUAUCACGGGAGACACACGGCGGGUGCUAACGUCCGUCGUGAAGAGGGAAACAACCCAGACCGCCAGCUAAGGUCCCAAAGUCAUGGUUAAGUGGGAAACGAUGUGGGAAGGCCCAGACAGCCAGGAUGUUGGCUUAGAAGCAGCCAUCAUUUAAAGAAAGCGUAAUAGCUCACUGGUCGAGUCGGCCUGCGCGGAAGAUGUAACGGGGCUAAACCAUGCACCGAAGCUGCGGCAGCGACGCUUAUGCGUUGUUGGGUAGGGGAGCGUUCUGUAAGCCUGUGAAGGUGUGCUGUGAGGCAUGCUGGAGGUAUCAGAAGUGCGAAUGCUGACAUAAGUAACGAUAAAGCGGGUGAAAAGCCCGCUCGCCGGAAGACCAAGGGUUCCUGUCCAACGUUAAUCGGGGCAGGGUGAGUCGACCCCUAAGGCGAGGCCGAAAGGCGUAGUCGAUGGGAAACAGGUUAAUAUUCCUGUACUUGGUGUUACUGCGAAGGGGGGACGGAGAAGGCUAUGUUGGCCGGGCGACGGUUGUCCCGGUUUAAGCGUGUAGGCUGGUUUUCCAGGCAAAUCCGGAAAAUCAAGGCUGAGGCGUGAUGACGAGGCACUACGGUGCUGAAGCAACAAAUGCCCUGCUUCCAGGAAAAGCCUCUAAGCAUCAGGUAACAUCAAAUCGUACCCCAAACCGACACAGGUGGUCAGGUAGAGAAUACCAAGGCGCUUGAGAGAACUCGGGUGAAGGAACUAGGCAAAAUGGUGCCGUAACUUCGGGAGAAGGCACGCUGAUAUGUAGGUGAAGUCCCUUGCGGAUGGAGCUGAAAUCAGUCGAAGAUACCAGCUGGCUGCAACUGUUUAUUAAAAACACAGCACUGUGCAAACACGAAAGUGGACGUAUACGGUGUGACGCCUGCCCGGUGCCGGAAGGUUAAUUGAUGGGGUCAGCGCAAGCGAAGCUCUUGAUCGAAGCCCCGGUAAACGGCGGCCGUAACUAUAACGGUCCUAAGGUAGCGAAAUUCCUUGUCGGGUAAGUUCCGACCUGCACGAAUGGCGUAAUGAUGGCCAGGCUGUCUCCACCCGAGACUCAGUGAAAUUGAACUCGCUGUGAAGAUGCAGUGUACCCGCGGCAAGACGGAAAGACCCCGUGAACCUUUACUAUAGCUUGACACUGAACAUUGAGCCUUGAUGUGUAGGAUAGGUGGGAGGCUUUGAAGUGUGGACGCCAGUCUGCAUGGAGCCGACCUUGAAAUACCACCCUUUAAUGUUUGAUGUUCUAACGUUGACCCGUAAUCCGGGUUGCGGACAGUGUCUGGUGGGUAGUUUGACUGGGGCGGUCUCCUCCUAAAGAGUAACGGAGGAGCACGAAGGUUGGCUAAUCCUGGUCGGACAUCAGGAGGUUAGUGCAAUGGCAUAAGCCAGCUUGACUGCGAGCGUGACGGCGCGAGCAGGUGCGAAAGCAGGUCAUAGUGAUCCGGUGGUUCUGAAUGGAAGGGCCAUCGCUCAACGGAUAAAAGGUACUCCGGGGAUAACAGGCUGAUACCGCCCAAGAGUUCAUAUCGACGGCGGUGUUUGGCACCUCGAUGUCGGCUCAUCACAUCCUGGGGCUGAAGUAGGUCCCAAGGGUAUGGCUGUUCGCCAUUUAAAGUGGUACGCGAGCUGGGUUUAGAACGUCGUGAGACAGUUCGGUCCCUAUCUGCCGUGGGCG